UGGGGGAUUUGGGGGGCACAUGGACAACAUUCCCGACUCCCUUCCCUCUGGCUCCUGGCAGCUUUUCCCGUCUGGGUUGGGUUUGUGUGCCCAGGUUUUGGUAGCAGGGGGGCUCCAGGGGUGGUUUCUGUGAGAAGCUGCCAGAAGCUUCCCCAGAGUCCGGCAGAGCCAAUUCCAGAGGCUCCAGGAUGGAUCCGGUGCUGGCCGAGGCUGAGCCUGGCAGGGAUGGCGGUGACACCUCAGGGAGAACGAACUGCAGGAGGAAAAAGUCCUUGUGCAGGUGAAAACUGCAGCCAGAGAAGAGCAGAGUGAGAACACGUGAGAGGAGCAGCCCUGCAGAGCUCCAGGGGAGUGCAGGAGGAGGGGCCGGAGCUGCUCCAAGAGUGGAGAUUCCCCUGAGGUUCUGUGGGGAAGCCCCUGGGGAGGCAGCUGAGCCCCUGCAGCCCACGGAGGCCACGUGGGUGGGUCAGGGAUGUUCCUGCGGCUCGUGGAGGGUCAGGGUGGGUCAGGGAUCCACGUGCAGCCCUGAAGAGCCCACCCGCAGCAGGGGAUGUGGGUCACAGACUGUGACCCUCUGGGAAGCCUGUGCUGGAGCAGGGUCCUGGUGGAGAGAGGAGCCCAGGCUGGAGCAGGGUCCUGGUGGAGAGAGGAGCCCAGGCUGGAGCAGGUUUGCUGGAAGGACUUGGGAGCCUUUGGGGGCCCAGCUUGGAGCAGGGGUUGGACUCGGGCUCGUCCCCUGAGCAGCAGCAGCAAGAACAAGCUGUGAUGACCUGCCUGUGACCCCCAUUCCCGUGUCCCUGCGCUGCUGGAGGGGGUGAAGGGAGAGCCCGGGAAGGAGGGCAGGUGUUUGUAAGAUUGAUUUGACUUCUCAUUCUCCUGCUCUGAUUUUGUUGUUAAUAAAUUCAGUUAGUGUC